UGUGAAGGUGAGCAAAUCCCAAAAAUAACGUCCCAGUUCGGAUUGUAGUCUGCAACCCGACUACAUGAAGCUGGAAUCGCUAGUAAUCGCGGAUCAGAAUGCCGCGGUGAAUACGUUCCCGGGUCUUGUACACACCGCCCGUCACACCAUGGGAGUCGGAAAUGCCCGAAGCCGGUGACUCAACCUUUAAGGAGAGAGCCGUCGAAGGCAGGUCUGAUAACUGGGGUGAAGUCGUAACAAGGUAUC
rnacentral:rRNA from 1 species